GUGGUCCCACCUGACCCCAUGCCGAACUCAGAAGUGAAACGCCGUAGCGCCGAUGGUAGUGUGGGGUCUCCCCAUGCGAGAGUAGGACACUGCCAGGC
rnacentral:rRNA from 1 species